GUGCCUUCAGAACCGCGAGCUGCC
rnacentral:piRNA from 1 species